UACGUAGGGUGCGAGCGUUGUCCGGAAUUAUUGGGCGUAAAGAGCUCGUAGGCGGUGUGUCACGUCGGCCGUGAAAACCUGGGGCUUAACUCUGGGCGUGCGGUCGAUACGGGCAUCACUAGAGUUCGGCAGGGGAGACUGGAAUUCCUGGUGUAGCGGUGAAAUGCGUAGAUAUCAGGAGGAACACCGGUGGCGAAGGCGGGUCUCUGGGCCGAUACUGACGCUGAGGAGCGAAAGCAUGGGGAGCGAACAGG
rnacentral:rRNA from 1 species